rnacentral:rRNA from 1 species
UACGUAGGUGGCAAGCGUUAUCCGGAAUUAUUGGGCGUAAAGCGCGCGCAGGCGGUUUCUUAAGUCUGAUGUGAAAGCCCACGGCUCAACCGUGGAGGGUCGUUGGAAACUGGGGAACUUGAGUGCAGAAGAGAAAAGCGGAAUUCCACGUGUAGCGGUGAAAUGCGUAGAGAUGUGGAGGAACACCAGUGGCGAAGGCGGCUUUUUGGUCUGUAACUGGCGCUGAGGCGCGAAAGCGUGGGGAGCAAACAGG